rnacentral:rRNA from 1 species
GUGAAAGUUUCCAAGGGCGCAUGGUGGAUGCCUUGGCAACAGGAGCCGAAGAAGGACGUGGGAAUCUGCGAUAAGCCUGGUGGAGUCGAUAACGGACGUUGAGACCAGGAUUUCCGAAUGGGGAAACCCCGCACGACGUGUCGUGUGACCCCGGUUGAAACACAUAGACCGGGUGGAGGGAACGUGGGGAAGUGAAACAUCUCAGUACCCACAGGAAGAGAAAACAAAAGUGAUUCCGUUAGUAGUGGCGAGCGAACGCGGAUGGGCUAAACCGUAUGUGUGUGAUACCCGGCAGGGUUUUGCAUGUGCGGUGUUGUGGGCCCCUCCUUGUCAUGUCUGCCGGCAUGGCGCAGUGAGUGCGGGCAUAUAGACGAACCAUGUGGGAUGCUGGACCGUAGAGGGUGAGAGUCCCGUAGUCGAAAUGUGUUCCGCCGCUGUUGGGGGGUUGCCCGAGUAGCCCGGGGCCCGAGGAAUCCCGUGUGAAUCUGCCAGGACCACCUGGUAAGCCUGAAUACUACCUGUUGACCGAUAGCGGAUCAGUACCGUGAGGGGAAUGGUGAAAAGUACCCCGGAGGGGAGUGAAAUAGUACCUGAAACCAUGUGCCUACAAACCGUUGGAGCCUCCUUGUGGGGUGACAGCGUGCCUUUUGAAGAAUGAGCCUGCGAGUUAGUGAUACGUGGCGAGGUUAACCCGUGUGGGGAAGCCGUAGCGAAAGCGAGUCUGAAUAGGGCGAUUGAGUCGCGUGUCCUAGACCCGAAGCGGAGUGAUCUACCCAUGGCCAGGUUGAAGCGCGUGUAAGAGCGCGUGGAGGACCGAACCCACUUCAGUUGAAAAUGGAGGGGAUGAGCUGUGGGUAGGGGUGAAAGGCCAAUCAAACUCCGUGAUAGCUGGUUCUCCCGAAAAUGCAUUUAGGUGCAGCGUCACGUGUUUCUCCCGGAGGUAGAGCUACUGGAUGGACGAUGGGCCCUACAAGGUUUACUGACUUCAGCCAAACUCCGAAUGCCGGGAAGUGAGAGCGUGGCAGUGAGACUGUGGGGGAUAAGCUUCAUAGUCGAGAGGGAAACAGCCCAGACCACCGGUUAAGGCCCCUAAGCGUGUGCUAAGUGGGAAAGGAUGUGGAGUUGCUGAGACAACCAGGAGGUUGGCUUAGAAGCAGCCACCCUUGAAAGAGUGCGUAAUAGCUCACUGGUCAAGUGAUUCCGCGCCGACAAUGUAGCGGGGCUCAAGUACACCGCCGAAACCGUGGCAUUCAGUGUUCUGGAUGGGUAGGGGAGCGUCGUUCACGAGGUGAAGCCAGCGGGUAACUUCUGGUGGAUUGUGGACGAGUGAGAAUGCAGGCAUGAGUAGCGAAGACGGUGAGAAACCCGUCCGCCGGAUGACUAAGGGUUCCAGGGUCAAGCUAAUCUGCCCUGGGGUAAGUCGGGACCUAAGGCGAGGCCGACAGGCGUAGUCGAUGGACAACGGUUUGAUAUUCCCGUACCAGUGAAGAACCGCCCAUGCUGAGCCGGUGAAUACUAACCGCCCGAACCAUCCCGAACCUCGUCUUUGACGG